rnacentral:rRNA from 1 species
UACGAAGGGUGCAAACGUUGCUCGGAAUUAUUGGGCGUAAAGCGCACGUAGGCGGCAUUGCAAGUCGGAUGUGAAAUCUUAUGGCUUAACCAUAAAAGUGCAUCCGAAACUGCAGUGCUUGAGUACUUAAGAGGAUCGCGGAAUUCCCGGUGUAGAGGUGAAAUUCGUAGAUAUCAGGAAGAACACCGGUGGCGAAGGCGGCUCUCUGGGCCUUACCUGACGCUGAGGAGCGAAAGCGUGGGUAGCGAACAGG